rfam:Schistosoma haematobium scaffold40_31, whole genome shotgun sequence.
AUUCAGCUGACGAGUCUUAAAUAUGACGAAACGCCCGUCCUGUAU